GCGGUAAUUCCAGCUCUGUAAGCGUAUACCAAAGUUGUUGCAGUUAAAACGCUCGUAGUCGGACGUUGGCGGGCGCGGUGAGACGGCCUCACGGUCGUUCUUGCUGUGGCCGCCUUUGUGGAGGGGGGUUCGUUUGGUGCUUCAUUGCCUCAGCGAAUCGCUGCCACCGUUUACUGUGAAAAAAUUAGAGUGUUCAAAGCGGGCGUUUGCCAUGAAUACAUUAGCAUGGAAUAAUAGAAUAGGACCUGGUCCUGUUUUGUUGGUUUGUGAGUAUCAGGUAAUGAUUAAGAGGGACGGUUGGGGGCAUUUGUAUUCCGGCGCUAGAGGUGAAAUUCUUGGAUU
rnacentral:rRNA from 1 species